UACCUGGUUGAUCCUGCCAGUAGUCAUAUGCUUGUAUCAAAUAUUAAGCCAUGCAUGUGUAAGUAUGAACAAAUUCAGACUGUGAAACUGCGAAUGGCUCAUUAAAUCAGUUAUACUUUGUUUGAUGGUAUCUACUACUCGGAUAACCGUACUAAUUCUAGAGCUAAUAGGUGCAACAAACCUCAACUUCUGGAAGGGAUGCAUUUAUUAGAUAAAAGGUCGAUGCAGGCUCUGCCAGUUGCUGCGAUGAUUCAUGAUAACUUGACGGAUCGCACGGCCAUCGUGCCGGCGAUGCAUCAUUCAAAUUUAUGCCCUAUGAACUUUUGAUGGUAGGAAAGUGGCCUACCAUGGUGGUGACAGUUGACGGAGAAUUAGGGUUCGAUUCCGAAGAGGGAGCCUGCGAAACGGCUACCACAUCCAAGGAAAGCAGCAGGCGCGCAAAUUACCCAAUCCUGACACAGGGAGGUAGUUACAAUAAAUAACAAUACUGGGCUCCAUGAGUCUGGUAAUUGGAAUGAGUACAAUCUAAAUCCCUUAACGAGGAUCCAUUGGAGGGAAAGUCUGGUGCCAGCAGUCGCGGUAAUUCCAGCUCCAAUACUGUAUAUUUAAGUUGUUGCAAUUAAAAAGCUCGUAGUUGGACUUUGGGAUGGGCCGGCCAGUCCGCCCUAGAUGUGCACCUGUCGUCUCGUCCCUUCUGUGGGGCGAUGCGCUCAUGGCGUUUAAUGGUCGGGUCAUGCCUACGACGCUGUUACUUUGAAGAAUUAGAGUGCUCAAAGAAAGCCUACGCUCUGCAUACAUUAGCAUGGGAUAACAUUAUAGGAUUUCGGUCAUAUUACAUUGGCCUUCAGGAUCAGAGUAAUGAUUAACAGGGACAGUCGGGGGCAUUCGUAUUUCAUAGUCAGAGGUGAAAUUCUUGGAUUUAUGAAAGAUGAACAACUGCGAAAGCAUUUGCCAAGAAUAUUUUCAUUAACCAAGAAAAAAAUUUGGGGGCUCGAAGAUGAUUAGAUACCGUCCUAGUCUCAACCAUAAACGAUGCCGACCAAGGAUCGACGGAUGUUGCUUUUAGGACUCUGCCGCCACCUUAUGAGAAAUCAAAGUUUUUGGGUUCUGGGGGGAGAGUAUGGUUGCAAGGCUGAAACUUAAAGGAAUUGACGGAAUGGCACCACCAGGAGUGGAGCAUGCGGCUUUAUUUGACUCAACACAGGGAAACUUACAAGGUCCAAACAUAGUAAGGAUUGACAGACUGAGAGCUCUUUCUUGAUUCUACUAGUGGUGGUGCAUGGUCGUUCUUAGUUGGUGAAGCGAUUUGUCUGGUUAAUUCCAUUAACGAAUGAGACCUCAUCCUGCUAAUUAGCUAUGCGGAGGUAUCCCUUCGCGGCCAGCUUCUUAGAGGGACUACGGACUUUUAGGCCGCAAAUGUUUGAGGCAAUAACAGGUCUGUGAUGCCCUUAGAUGUUAUGGGUCGCACGCGCGCUACACUGAUUAUUCAACGAGCUUAUAUCCUUGGCCAACAGGCCCGGGUAAUCUUUGAAAUUUUAUCGUGAUAGGGAUAUAUCAUUGCAUAUAUUAGUUUUCAACGAGGAAUUCCUAGUAAGCGCGAGUCAUCAGCUCGCAUUGACUACGUUCCUGCCCUUUGUACACACCACCCGUCGCUCCUACCGAUUGAAUGAUUUAGUGAAAUGUUCGGAUCGCGGCGACAUGGGCGGUUCGCUGCCCGCGAAGUCGUGAGAAGUCCAUUGAACCUUAUCAUUUAGAGGAAGGAGAAGUCGUAACAAGGUUUCCAUAGGUUAACCUGCGGAAGGAUCAUUC
rfam:Solanum lycopersicum cultivar Heinz 1706 chromosome 11, whole genome shotgun sequence.